GUCUACGCCUCGAUUGCCCCACUCUAUCCGAGCACCAACUCUGGGCCUUACACGAGCUCGGAAAUGCGAGAUGUGGAGGUCCGCUCCUACCACAAAGGCCAGACACAUCAACGGUGGUGGAGCCCUGCCCAGACCUUCCUCCAGAAACCCACGCCGCCCCCGAGCCUUCGCAACGGAACACCCAGGCACCCAACCUCCCCAGCCCCCAAGAUCCCACCACACUCCCCUGGGUUGCAUGGCUCCCAAAGCUCAACGCCCUAGGCUUCGAAGCCCUCGAGAUCCAGAAUGAUCCAUCCACAGGGAAUAUGAUCAUGCCCAUAACAGACACGAAAGAACUCCCACGGGCAAUUGGACCCGCCCAUUGGCAGGGCCCCGACAUGGAGCAGAUCAUCUCCACCCUCCGGAGCCUCAACCGCUACCCCACGCCGUGGAACCCCGACCGAUCCCGGGCCAGAGCCUUCACUUCUGACGUCAAGAAUUCCCGAACUGGCAAGGCGCUGCACCGAGAGUCCCAAGUCUGGAAGGAGACUCAGACAAUGCUGACGGAAAGCACCCAGACUAACCUCGCCAUCUCCGUUAUCCACGGCGCAGGGGGCUCAGGCAAAAGCCAGGCGCUUCAAACACUCCUCCGUCAACACCCCAGUCUCCCCGUCGAGGUUGUCCUCCCCACCAAUGAGCUAAGGCUUGACUGGCUGAAGAAACUCCCCCACAACCCCCCUGAACAAUUCAGGACGUUCGAAAGGGCUUUCGUUUGCUCGCGCUGCCCCGUGGUCAUCUUCGACGACUACGGCAAACUCCCACAGGGCUACCUCGAAGCCUUUGCCAUGACACAUGCAAGCCUUGAACUGGUCAUCCUCACUGGGGACCCUCGACAAUCAACCCAUCACGAGGCCAACGAGGAAGCCUUAAUAUCCAAGCUCCCACCUGCGACCACAAUCUUCUCAGAGCUUUCCCGCUACUACAUCAACGCCACCCACAGGAACUCCAAAUUCCUGGCCAAUAAGCUGGGCGUUUACUCCUCAAACUCCUGCCCACUCAAGGUCACAUACGGCUCCCAACCUCAGCCGGGGCUCCACCUCCUCGUCCCCUCACUCAUGAAGAAGGCCGCCUUCACAGACGCGGGCCAUAAAGUCUCAACAUACGCCGGGUGCCAGGGAAUAACCGCUCCGCGGGUGCAAAUCCUCCUCGACAACGACACGACUAUGUGCACCAAGGAGGUGUUGUACACCGCGCUGUCACGUGCCGUCGACAGCAUCCAUUUCAUAAACUCUAACGCCCAGUCCAGCGCUUUCUGGGAGAAGCUUGAGGCCACCCCUUACCUGAAGACUUUCCUGAGCCUUGUUCGCGAGGACAGAGUCGCAGAAUUCUCCGCCAGCCCUGCCGACCCAACACCCGUGGCUCCCCCCUGCACACACUUCCCCGUGGAGGACGGCACCACCACCCUGGACGACUUCAGAGAGGAACUCCAAGACAAAUUCGACCGGGAGAUCUUCAACCAGGCACACGGGCACACGAACUGCGUCCAAACCGACAACCCCACCACUCAACUCUUCGCCCACCAACAGGCAAAGGACGAAGCACUCCUCUGGGAGACCAUCAACGCCCGCCUAACCAUCUCCAGCCCCGAGGCAAACCUUGCCGAAUUCCGGGCCAAGAAGGACCUGGGGGACAUCCUCUGGGAGAACUACCGCAAGGCCAUGAAGCUGCCCAAUGAGC
rnacentral:misc_RNA from 1 species